AUUAUCAACCACGAACUACCGAAGAUAUAUUCUUGCCCUAAAACGAGCAGACUCAACGACGCCAUUUUGCCCUAGCCUAACUAGGCGGCUAACGCUAGUUAGCACAAACAUGAUGUAGUUAAGAUCAUUGAUUUGCAUCGACUGUAUGGAUUUUGUACCGUUUUAUAUUUUCUAAUUGAAUUUCCAUUUACUUAUUUAUGUUAACAUUGUUGUCUUUUCAGUGUAUUUUGUAAUUUAAAGCUAACAUUAGUUAGCCCAAUUAGGCCAAGUUGUUUGCAGCUAUUUUAACGUUAGUUAAUUCACAUCAAGUACAUUUUGAAUUAACGAGUCUACUGAGACUGCUGGCGAGAAACAGUUACCAAUGUACAUUUACUCAUCAUUGCAGGUUGAGUUGGGAAGAAGCAAAAUGGCGGAAGAAGUUUCAGAUAUGAAGUUUGAAGUUGUUAAAGGGCAUAUUUGAUGAAGCUGAUGGUGUUGAUGCAUGCUAAUGUAAAAUGAAGCUGGCAGAAGCGAGCGGCCACGCUGUCCACUGGUAGAGUGAUGUAAUGGCAGAAAUCAAAUGGGAGGAAGGAAGUGGGGGAAGAGGAGAGAAAAAUGAAGUCAGAAAUGGUGUGAAACGGAAGAAAGAAGAAAAGAGAUGGUUGUUUUGAAGUUAUGAAGUUAAAGAAGUGAUGAAGUUAUGAGAAGUGUUCGGGGGUAUGGUUAAUUCCCUAUAGCCUGCUAUGUUAUAUUACUACAAUCCUAUUUCUCUCUCCCUCUCUCCUUCUGUUUUCUAAAGCAGUGUUUCCCAAGCCAUCCCUCAAGGACCCCCCAUCCCCCCACCAUUACACCUGUUUGUUCUAUUCCACCAUUGGUACACCUGAUUCAACAAAAUCUCAAGCUCUUUCUCAAAUUGAAUCAGGUGUACUAAAAUGGAAAUGUGCAACAGUUGGGGUCUCCCUGAGGGAUGGCGUGAGAAACACUUCUUAAGCAUGCAUGCCAACUGCUCCUCCAUCUCAGACACAUUACCUAGUCCUCAACACGCAAGGUUAAACUCUGCUACGCUGCCUAGAGUGUAAGAGAACAAUCCGCUCAUCAUAGAACUGUGUUAAGAUUAAACUAGAUUAACACCUCUACUUUAAGCCUAUAUGAUUUCCUCUGGUCGCCUGUAACAGGCAGAUCUAGUUACAACAAAUACCUGUUGUUAAUGAAAUGUU